rnacentral:lncRNA from 1 species
CCCUCAUAGCAGGGUUACAGAUGCUCUCAGAGCAGCUCUUCUCCAUGGAUGCGGUCCUGACAUCGAUGAUUUUCUAUUAUUAUUCCAGUAAUAAGCUGUGUAGUAGAAAAGGAAAGACAACUUUUCUACCCAGUGAGAAGCAUACAAUUGGAUCCAAAAACUCAUAAACUUUAUAUUGCCAUGUGAAAUAUUAGUUGCACUGUUAUGGGACCAUAUUUUCAAAAAAGUUUGAGAAAAUUUCUGUAGAGAUUAUGAAGACAAUACUCUUAU